rnacentral:tRNA from 1 species
UGGCUUAGUGGUAGAGUGCUUGCCUAGCAUGCAUGAGGCCCUAGGUUCAAUUCCUUG